AGAUGGUCAUCUCAUGGUUUAUUUGACCAGUAUGUUGUAAAUAAAAAUUUUGUUGUUUCUAGUUUUUUUCUACUAUGAUAAAAAUUUUGCACGUUUUUGUUCACUUUUGUGAUCUUACAUGUAAGAUAAAUUCCUAGAAGUGGAAUCGCUGGGCUGAAAGGCCUGCACACCCAUCACACACUAUUCAAACAGCUUGUUAGUCCUCUUCUCACAGAACCUUCCUUGUCUCCCAAACAGGAAACAAAGCCCUGCAGGAUCUGGCGUCCGCCCACAGCCACAGCUUGUCCUUCGCUGUGCUCAUGGCCUCUGGAUUCCAGCCAGCUGAGUUACGCAAUGUGACAAAUUGUCAAUCUAACCAACCAAGUAAUGAAGGUGAUGCCAUCAAAGUUUUUGUGCGAAUUCGUCCACUUACAGAGGGUUCUGGAUCAGCCGAUGGAGAGCAAAACUUAUGCUUAUCUUUGCUCUCCUCUACGACUCUCCGGCUGCACUCCAACCCUGAGCCCAAGAUCUUCACAUUUGAUCAUGUCGCAGACAUGGACACCACUCAGGAGUCUGUGUUCUCGGCUGUGGCCAAAGGCAUUGUGGAGUCUUGCAUGAGCGGUUAUAAUGGUACCAUCUUUGCAUAUGGACAGACUGGCUCAGGGAAAACGUUUACUAUGAUGGGGCCAUCUGAAUCUGAUAAUUUUUCUCAUAACCUGAGAGGAGUAAUCCCACGAAGUUUUGAAUAUUUGUUUUCCUUAAUUGAUCGUGAAAAAGAGAAGGCUGGAGGUGGAAAGAGUUUCCUAUGUAAGUGUUCCUUUAUUGAAAUCUACAAUGAGCAGAUUUAUGACCUACUGGACUCUGCAUCGGCUGGACUAUACUUAAGGGAGCAUAUCAAGAAGGGAGUCUUUGUUGUUGGUGCCGUAGAGCAGGUGGUGACCUCAGCUGCUGAAGCCUAUCAGGUGUUGUCUGGAGGAUGGAGAAACAGACGUGUGGCAUCGACAUCAAUGAAUAGAGAAUCCUCUAGGUCUCAUGCAGUCUUUACAAUUACAGUAGAGUCAAUGGAGAAAAGCAAUGAGACUGUGAAUAUACGGACCUCCCUACUCAAUCUGGUGGAUUUAGCAGGAUCUGAGAGGCAAAAAGAUACCCAUGCAGAAGGGAUGAGGUUGAAAGAAGCAGGUAACAUCAACCGAUCAUUGAGCUGCCUGGGCCAAGUGAUAACUGCACUUGUUGAUGUGGGUAAUGGAAAACAGAGACAUGUUUGCUACAGAGACUCCAAACUUACCUUCUUACUCCGGGAUUCCCUUGGAGGUAAUGCCAAAACAGCCAUAAUUGCGAAUGUUCACCCUGGAUCCAGGUGUUUUGGGGAAACCCUGUCAACACUUAAUUUUGCUCAAAGAGCCAAGCUGAUUAAAAAUAAGGCAGUGGUAAAUGAAGACACCCAAGGAAAUGUGAGCCAGCUCCAAGCUGAAGUGAAGAGGCUCAAAGAACAGUUGGCCCAGUUUACUUCAGGGCGGGUGCUGCCAGAAAGCUUUCUGACCAGAGACAGAGACGAGACUACUUACAUGAAGUAUUUCCAAGAGGCAAUGUUAUUCUUUAAGAAAUCUGAACAGGAAAAGAAGUCUCUAGUAGAAAAAAUUACCCAAUUAGAAGACCUCACCCUCAAAAAAGAAAAAUUUAUUCAGUCCAAUAAAAUGAUUGUGAAAUUCCGAGAGGAUCAAAUAAUGCGCCUGGAGAAACUCCAGAAGGAAUCCCGGGGAAGUUUUCUACCUGAGGAGCAGGAUCGUUUGCUGUCGGAAUUAAGGGAUGAGAUUCAAACUCUACGAGAACAAAUAGAGCACCACCCCAGAGUCGCAAAGUAUGCUAUGGAAAAUCAUUCUCUCAGAGAGGAGAAUAGAAGACUGAGAUUAUUAGAGCCUGUGAAAAGAGCCCAAGAAUUGGAUGCCCAGACCAUUGCAAUACUAGAAAAAGCUUUCUUCGAAGUAUCUGGCACAGAUGAAAAUGACAAAAGUCAGCAAGGAUUCUCUCCUAAAGCUCCGAAAGAGCCAUGCUCGUUAGCGAACUCUGAGAAGUUAAAAGCACAGCUCCUGCUAAUUCAGACAGAGCUGAAUAAUUCAAAGCAAGAAUAUGAAGAAUUCAAAGAACUAACUCGGAAAAGGCAGCUAGAAUUAGAAUCAGAACUUCAGGCUUUGCAAAAAGCGAACCUUAAUCUUGAAAAUCUUUUGGAAGCAACAAAAGCCUGCAAGCGGCAAGAAGUUUCUCAGCUGAAUAAAAUUCAUGCUGAAACACUUAAGAUUAUAGCUACACCAACCAAGGCUUAUCAACUUUGGCCUCAAACAAAAUUAAGCCCUGAAGUAGGGAGCUUUGGCUCUAUGCACACUCAGAAUUCUAGCAAGUUAGAUGAUGAUAUCUUAAAUGAGCCCAUUCCGCCUGAGAUGAAUGAACAAGCGUUUGAGGCCAUUUCUGAAGAGCUCAGAAUGGUGCAGGAACAAAUGAGUGCCCUUCAAGUCAAGUUGGAUGAAGAACAGCAUAAAAACCUAAAGCUCCAGCAGCACGUCGACAAACUGGAACAUCAUUCUACACAAAUGCAGGAGCUUUUCUCAUCAGAAAGAUCUGAUUGGACCAAACAGCAGCAAGAGCAUCUCUCACGAUUGAAUGUCCUUGAAAAGCAGCUUCUGGACACUCAAACUAAGAAUGACUUUUUGAAAAGUGAGGUGCAUGACCUGCGAGUAGUUCUUCAUUCUGCAGACAAGGAGCUGUCUUCAGUGAAAUUGGAGUAUAGUUCAUUCAGAGCAAGUCAGGAGAAAGAACUCAACAACCUUUCAGAAAAGCACAUGCAUGUACAGCUUCAACUAGAUAAUGUCAGAUUAGAAAAUGAAAAGCUUCUUGAGACCAAAGCCUGCCUACAGGAUUCCUAUGACAACUUACAAGAAGUAAUGAAGUUUGAAAUUGACCAACUUUCAAAAAACCUCCAAAACUGCAAAAAAGAAAAUGAAACUCUGAAAUCUGACCUGAAUAAUUUGAUGGAGCUUUUUGAGGCAGAAAAAGAACGCAAUAACAAAUUAUUAUUACAAUUUGAAGAAGAUAAAGAAAACAGUUCUAAAGAAAUCUUAGAAGUUCUUGAGGUUGUACGUCAGGAGAAACAGAAAGAGAUGGCCAAGUGUGAGCAGCAGAUGGCCAAAGUACAGAAACUAGAAGAGAGUUUGUGUGCUACAGAAAAAGUAAUCAGUUCUCUGGAGAAGUCUAGAGAUGCUGACAAGGAAGUUGUAGCUGAGCUCACGAGCCAUAUCCAGGAGCUAAGAACAUCAGUCUGUGAGAAAACAGAAACUAUAGACACCCUGAAGCAAGAACUAAAGGACAUAAGUUGCAAAUACAAUUCUACUUUGGUAGACAAAGAAGAGAGCAAAGUGUUGAUUCAGAGACAAGAAGUGGAGAUUCUGGACCUGAAGGAAGCCCUUAGACUGAGACUAAUCUCUGAGGACCUAGAGAGGGAUAUGCUCUGUGAGGACCUGGCUCAUGCCACUGAGCAGCUGAACACGCUCACCCAGGCCUCAGAAAAGCACUUGGGGCUGCUGCAGUCUGCCCAGGAGGAGGUGGCCAGGAAGGAGGCCCUCAUCCAGGAACUUCAGCAUGAGCUAAACCAAAAGAAAGAGGAAGUAGAACAGAAAAAGAAUGAAUAUAAUUUCAAAAUGAAGCAGCUAGAACAUGUGAUGGACUCUGCUGCUGAGUAUCCCCAGAGCCCUAAAACACCACCUCAUUUUCAAACACAUUUGGCAAAACUCCUGGAAACACAAGAACAAGAGAUAGAAGAUGGAAGAGCCUCUAAGAUUUCUUUGCAGCGUCUUGUAACAAAGUUAAGUGAAGACAGAGGAGUCAAAAAUGCUGAAAUCCUCAGAAUGAAGGAGCAGUUGUGUGAAAUGGAAAACCUGCGCCAGGAAGCUGAGCAGCUAAGAGAGAAAAACUGGCUCCUGCAAGGUCAGCUGGAUGAUGUUAAAAGACAAAAGGACAACAGUGAACAGAAUCAUCCAGACCAUCAGCAGCUGAAGAAUGAGCAAGAAGAAAUUAUCAAAGAAAGACUUGCUAAAAAUAAAUUAAUUGAAGAAAUGCUGAAAAUGAAAGCAGAUCUAGAAGUGGUGCAGAGCGCCCUUCAGCACAAGGAGGCAGACCACCUUAGAAUGACUGAGGAGGUCGAGCGAACCCGAACUUUGGAGUCUAAAGCGUUUCAAGAAAAGGAAGAACUGAGAUCAAAACUGGAAGAAUUUUAUGAAGAAAAGGAGAGAACACUGCAGGAGAUGGAAAUGUUGCGGAAGCGGGUGGAGUAUCUCGCUGAGGAAAACGGGAAGUUGGUGGGUCACCAAAACAUACAUCAGAAGAUUCACUACGUGGUGCGGCUGAAGAAGGAAAAUGUCAGACUUGCCGAGGAGAGAGAAAAAUUGCUUGCUGAAAAUGCAUCUUUAAAGGAAAAGAAAAAGAAUGAAUCGUAAGGAUCCUGCUCAACUACCCAGGCAUCACAUUGUUUGGAGACUUUUUUCCCUCUUAUGAAAGGUUCCAUUGUGUGGAUUUGAUGGACAUUUGAACCAUUGGCAAUUUGGGGCAAUUAUGGAUAAUGCUGCUGUCAUAUUCGUGUAUAAGUCUUGGUACAGACAUCUGCUUCCUAUCUCUUGAGUAGAUACCUAGGAGUGGGAUAGCUGGGUCAUCUGGUAAGCGCAUCCCUAACUUUUUAAGACAUUGCCUGUUUUCCAGACGCGCUGGCUACACCAUUUUACGUGCCGUCCAGCAGUGUGUUCCAAUUUCUCCACAUCUUCACCAACACUUGUCAUUGUCAGAUUUUCUUACUAUAGCCAUCCUAGUGGAUGUAUAGUGGUAUAUCACACUUUCCUAAUGACUAAUGAUACAGAACACUUUUUAUGUAUUAUGGAAUACUACUGGGCAAUAAGAAAGAGAUAAACUGAUAGAAGCUACAACAUGAAUGAACCUCAAAAAAAAAAAAAAAUGCUAAGCAAAAGAGGCCAAACCCAAAAGGCCACAUAUUAUAUGACUCCAUGUAUGUGAAAUGUCCAGAAAAGGCAAAAUUAUAGAAAGCAAAUCAUUGGUUGCUUGGGGCUAGGGAUGAGAGUGGGAAUGACCAUGUGGGCAUGAGGGGACUUUUUGAUGUGACUGGUUUGUAGUGAUGGUUGUACAACUCUAAAUGUAAUAAAAAUUCAACUAUAUUCAAAAUGAGUUAAUGUUAUGGUUUGUAAAUUAUACCUCAAUAAAGCUGAAGGAAAACAAUUUUUAAAAACUAAUGCAUAGUUGAACUCUCAAUAAUAUAAUAAAUCCCUAAGAGCCAGAAACAGAAAAAGAGCUAAAAUUCAGUGUAAGGUAGAGAGUAGACACUGACUGCCUUGGAGGUGGGAGGAAGUGGAGUACUGAAGCUGGUAAUAAAGAGGCUUGGGUCUCAUCGCUUCUAUGAGUUUCCUAGGGCGGCCCCAACAAAUUGCCGCAACCUGAGUGGCUUAAAACAACAGGGAUGUGGGGCCGGCCCAGUGGCACAGUGGUUAA